UACAAUCGGAGAAUGAUUUCAACUCCCACCAAACACGAGAGUCAGAGCCAGUUUUUGUUGUGUUAGAAGCAGUGCAGUUGUUCGAGGAGGGAAGAUCUCAGUGAAAACAUCGAUUCUCCCCAGUGAUUCCCACAAAGGUGGAUCACAGACAUUUCGCAGGAAUUUACUUCAGGAGGUUGAAGACUAGAGCGGAAAGUUUUCUGCAACUUUCUGAUGUCGCUGCCUCCAAUUUCAGCUUGUGAUGACUCCUGCUAUUCGAUCAUAUUUUCAUCAAACAUUCUUCCAAUGAUCCUCUCCAUUGCGAUUGGUGCUCUGCUGAUGUGGAUAUGGUUAUACCAUCAAUCCAUUGGUAUGGAACAACAUCAAUCACAAAAUUAACUGCACUCAUUCACUUCCUCUUAGUUCAGGGUUUCUGAGACCAUAAUUCUUCACACAAAAUAUGAUAGGCUUCAAAAUAUCUCCUGCCAUUUGUGUGAUUUGAUGUCCCCUCAACAUGUAACAGCUUCCAUGUGGAAUGAUUGACAAUGGAAAUGAAGAUUUUUUUGGGAGGUGGGCAGGGUCCACAUGGCACAAAUCAGUUAUAGCAACGUGUCUGAGUACCUUUUAUAUUGAGAGCAAGCAUAACUGAA